UACGAAGGGGGCUAGCGUUGCUCGGAAUGACUGGGCGUAAAGGGCGCGUAGGCGGUUUGUACAGUCAGGCGUGAAAUUCCUGGGCUCAACCUGGGGGCUGCGUUUGAUACGUGCGGACUGGAGUGUGGAAGAGGGUCGUGGAAUUCCCAGUGUAGAGGUGAAAUUCGUAGAUAUUGGGAAGAACACCGGUGGCGAAGGCGGCGACCUGGUCCAUUACUGACGCUGAGGCGAGAAAGCGUGGGGAGCAAACAGG
rnacentral:rRNA from 1 species